rnacentral:rRNA from 1 species
CGGUCGUACUGACGGAAUCAACUUCUCGAUAGUGGUUUGUGGGCUUUGUUCUCGCGAUAUCCGUGUUCUUUUGGUGCACUUCCUCGUAUUGUAGGUUAGCAUCGGUUUUGAUUGUCAUAAAAUGAUUGGAGGAAUGUGGCUUCGACUUCGGUUGAAGUGUUAUAGACUCUGGUAGAUGUGAUGGUUGAGACCGAGGAUUGCAACGGAUGCCCUUAAGGGCUAUCCGCCUGGCCUCUGAUUUGUUGCUUUGGCUUUGAAGGCUUGCUUACGAGGUUAGAGUUUGCGGUCAA